ACCCGACACACCGCAGAAACGACCCAAAAUCUCCCCCAAAUCGCCCCGAAAUGCCCCAAACUGGAGCCCAGCCGGCACGGAACGGCCAGGAAGCACCAAAUAGCCACCAAAGCUUGGUCUCAGAAAAAUGGACAGAGCAAGACA